rnacentral:ncRNA from 1 species
AAAAAAUUUUAUUUAUGUUGGAAAAAUGAAUGUAUAGACUAUUUUACAUGCGAAUUUUAGUGUUUAUAAAAAUAAUUUUAAAAAGAUAAUUAUAAGAAAUUUAAUUGCAGUAUUUAAGAUUAAAUAAUUAAGGAAACUUAGAUUUAGGGAUUUAUAAUAAUAUUAACAUAAUUUGUGCCAGCAGUUGCGGUUAUACAAAUAAUAUAAUUUAUUUUUAUUAAUUUAUAAUUAAUUGAUUAAUUUAUUAAAAUUGAUAAGUAUAGUUUAUUAAGUGAAAUUUUAAAUUAUAUAUAUAUAUUGUUUAUAAAAGUUUUUGAAGUUGUUAAAUUUGAUUAAAACUAGGAUUAGAUACCCUAUUAUAAAAAUGUAAAAUGAUAAUAAAAUUAAAUUAUUUUUAGUUAUGUUCUUUAAAGUUAAAAAAUUUGGCGGUAUUUUAAUCUAUUCAGAGGAACCUGUCCUAUAAUUGAUAAUCCACGAUUAAAUUAACUUAUUUUAUUAAUUUAUAUAUCGUCGUAGUUGAAUAUUUUAUUAGAAUGAUAAUAUUCAAGAUUUUUAAUUAAAAUAUAAAUCAGAUCAAGAUGUAGUUUAUAAAUAAGAAGAGAUGGGUUACAUUAAUUAGAUAAUUAUGGAUUAUAUUUUGAUAAAAUUUAUGAAAUUGGAUUUGAGGGUAAUUAUUUUUAUAUUAAUAUGAUGAUUUUAGCUCUAAAAUAUGCACAUAUCGCCCGUCGCUCUCAUUUUAAGUUGAGAUAAGUCGUAACAAAGUAAAUGUACUGGAAAGUGUAUUUAGAUUU